rnacentral:rRNA from 1 species
UACGAAGGGGGCUAGCGUUGUUCGGAAUCACUGGGCGUAAAGGGCGCGUAGGCGGCCGAUCAAGUCGGGGGUGAAAGCCUGUGGCUCAACCACAGAAUUGCCUUCGAUACUGUUUGGCUUGAGACUGGAAGAGGUUAGUGGAACUGCGAGUGUAGAGGUGAAAUUCGUAGAUAUUCGCAAGAACACCAGUGGCGAAGGCGGCUGACUGGUCCGGUUCUGACGCUGAGGCGCGAAAGCGUGGGGAGCAAACAGG